rnacentral:ncRNA from 2 species
UGACUUUAAACGGGAGAGACCUAUUUAGGCGCCGAAGAAGAAAGGCAGUUUAUUGCUAAUGGAUUGCUGAAACUUUCAGGCAAAAGAACCGUUUGAAGGAC